GAUGAACGCUGGCGGCGUGCCUAAUACAUGCAAGUCGAGCGAACAGACGAGGAGCUUGCUCCUCUUACGUUAGCGGCGGACGGGUGAGUAACACGUGGAUAACCUACCUAUAAGACUGGGAUAACUUCUGGAAACCGGAGCUAAUACCGGAUAAUAUAUUUAACCGCAUGGUUCAAUAGUGAAAGACGGAUUUGCUGUCACUUAUAGAUGGAUCCGCGCCGCAUUAGCUAGUUGGUAAGGUAACGGCUUACCAAGGCAACGAUGCGUAGCCGACCUGAGAGGGGGACCGCCCAAACGGGAACGGGGCCACGGUCCAGACUCCUACGGGAGGCAGAAGUAGGGAAUCUCCCGCAAUGGGCGAAAGCCUGACGGAGAAACGCCGCGUGAGUGAGGAAGGUCUUCGGAUCGUAAAACUCUGUUAUUAGGGAAGAACAAAUGGGUAAGUAACUAUGCACGUAUUGACGGUACCUAAUCAGAAAGCCACGGCUAACUACGUG
rnacentral:rRNA from 1 species